CACAAGACAAAGAUGUGGAGUGAGAGAAAGAGCCGUUGCUUGUCCAUCUGCCUUCCUCCAUGAAGCUGGCCUUUCCCUUCUUAUGAAAGGCUCUCCUGAUCCUUGUCACCAUAAUCAGGGACUUUUAUUUCUCGGCAUGGUGCUCAAAGUUGGGUCUGCUCCCUGAGAUGAUAGAAGUGCAGUUAAAUGAAGCUCUUUUUUGGAGCCAAUGGGCCGGAUCUUAAGCCUUCCUGAGAAUUUAAGUGUAAUUUACGAAACUGGAAGAAAUUAUUGAGUCUCUGUCCUAAUCCCCUGAGAAUUUCUGUAUUCACUCGAGGAAUCAUGAAAACCCAAGCUGAGUUUAUCGGUUGUUUACUAUCAUCACAAGCACCAGUGCCACUGUGCAUCAUAGCUUCUUCCUGUGACGUCAGGAAUAACAUAAGUUGAGCACAGGAAGUUAACCGUGCCCUAACAGUAUGGCACCUAUCUCAACUGGCUGGAGAUGGUGGAGGAGAGAAAUGAAAACGGCAGGGUUGCAGUAAAGAGAGUGUAGCAACACAAAUGCUUCAGACCUUAUCAUCAUUUUAUUUGAAAGGAGGAAGAAACUCCAUGAAGAAUUCUCCAACCAGUGAAGGUGGCAAUCACUCUUCUACAUUUUUAACGUUGAAAUAAAUUUAUUUAUUUAUUUAUUUA